AUAACAGGCUGAUACCGCCCAAGAGUUCAUAUCGACGGCGGUGUUUGGCACCUCGAUGUCGGCUCAUCACAUCCUGGGGCUGAAGUAGGUCCCAAGGGGAUGGCUGUUCGCCAUUUAAAGUGGUACGCGAGCUGGGUUUAGAACGUCGUGAGACAGUUCGGUCCCUAUCUGCCGUGGGCGCUGGAGAAUUGAGGGGGGCUGCUCCUAGUACGAGAGGACCGGAGUGGACGCAUCACUGGUGUUCGGGUUGUCAUGCCAAUGGCACUGCCCGGUAGCUAAAUGCGGAAGAGAUAAGUGCUGAAAGCAUCUAAGCACGAAACUUGCCCCGAGAUGAGUUCUCCCUGAGACUUUAAGUCUCCUGAAGGAACGUUAAAGACGAUGACGUUGAUAGGCCGGGUGUGUAAG
rnacentral:rRNA from 1 species